GAUGAACGCUGGCGGCGUGCCUAAUACAUGCAAGUCGAACGAGGUGCUUGAGUAGCAAUACGAGAGUAUCCUAGUGGCGAACGGGUGAGUAACGCGUUGGUGACCUACCCCAAAGUGUGGGAUAACAGUCCGAAAGGAUUGCUAAUACCGCAUGUGGUCUUCGGGUUUAGAAACCGAUGACGAAAGCAGCAAUGCGCUUUGGGGAGGGACCUGCGUCCCAUCAGCUAGUUGGUGAGGUAACGGCUCACCAAGGCGACGACGGGUAGGGGACCUGAGAGGGUGACCCCCACCAA
rnacentral:rRNA from 1 species